GAGUAUCUAUAUAACAAUUGUAAUGAUUUUUUUAGAUAAUGAUUUAUCAUUAUUAUAAUAAAAUAUAAUAGAAUACAAUAAAAUAGAAAAAAUUAUAUAAAAAAAGUGGAAAAAAUCUUUUGUAAAUGGAAAAUUAUUUUGAUAAAAUUGAUAAUAAUUAUAUUUCAUUAUUGAUUAAGGUUAUAAUUUUUCUUUAUAACAUUUUUCCAUCAUAUUGCAAGUAUUUGAAGAACGGUGAUAACGGUGAUGAAGAUUUUUUCAAAGAUAGACAAACGAUUCAAUAUUCACACUUUCAAAGAAAAUUGAACGUGAUUAAAAUAAUGAGCAAUUAAACGGUGGAAAUUUAUUCGGAAUGAACCAAGAAUGCUGUUGCAAUUACGGCGUGUUCUAAAGAUACGCGUGUGUCAUUCAUAUUUAACAUGAAAGUAGCUGCAUACUAAUGUUUCAGAAUAAAGAAAUUAGAGAGCAACAGCUAACAGCUAUCGAGAUAAAUGGUACAUCAAAAUUCAGUAUGGAGGAUGACUACAAAUGGAGAAUAUCGGGAAACGAAUUUUAGAUUCACACGUUUGCUCUUCAUUAAUAUUCAGUCUAUCACCCACAAAUGUAAUAGAGUCAUUGGCAAACAUUGUACGAAAGAUAAAAGUAGAAAAGAGAUUAAUUAAAUGCGAAGAUUUUGCGAUCGUUUUAAAAUCCUGAAAAAAAUUUCUUAUUAAAUUAAGAUUAAAUGGAUCAGCAAAAUUAAAUUUAUAUAUGCAGAAACAAAAAUAAAAUAAAUGUGAAAAAUA